AAGUCGUAACAAGGUUUCCGUAGGUGAACCUGCGGAAGGAUCAUUAUCGAGUUUUUUGAAGUGGGAUUUUGAUGCUGGCCAGUCCUCGGACGGGCAUGUGCUCGGUCCCCGCUCAAAUCCACUCAACCACUGUGCACUAAUUCGAAGCUUUGCGGUCCUCCCCGAAAGGGGGAGCAGCUCCCCCCCUUAUCGGGGGUCGAGCCGGGGCUUGCGAGGUUUCGAGCCUUUAUCAUACAAACUACUUUAUUGUCUUGUAGAAUGUGAACUUAUUGAAAAAAUACAA
rnacentral:misc_RNA from 1 species